ensembl:ncRNA H36N01.5 ncRNA
ACGGUAGUUCUCGAUGUGUGUGCAAGGUGUUUGCGUAUGCGGCGCCAUACCUCACGACAGUUCCACGCUUGCAUGUCCUGUGAGAAUUUUUGCAGAAAAUUUCGGCACUUCGAGCAAUGUAAUGAAGACUUUUGCUGCAAAUU